GACGAACGCUGGCGGCGUGCUUAACACAUGCAAGUCGAGCGGUAAGGCUCCUUCGGGAGUACACGAGCGGCGAACGGGUGAGUAACACGUGAGCAAUCUGCCCUUCACAUUGGAAUAACUUCCGGAAACGGAAGCUAAUACCGAAUACGACCACCGAGGGCAUCCUCUGGUGGUGGAAAGUUCCGGCGGUGAAGGAUGAGCUCGCGGCCUAUCAGCUUGUUGGUGGGGUAACGGCCUACCAAGGCGACGACGGGUAGCCGGCCUGAGAGGGUGACCGGCCACACUGGGACUGAGACACGGCCCAGACUCCUACGGGAGGCAGCAGUGGGGAAUAUUGGACAAUGGGCGAAAGCCUGAUCCAGCAACGCCGCGUGAGGGAUGACGGCCUUCGGGUUGUAAACCUCUUUCAGCAGGGACGAAGCGAAAGUGACGGUACCUGCAGAAGAAGCACCGGCCAACUACGUGCCAGCCGCCGCCGUAACAC
rnacentral:rRNA from 1 species